ensembl:lncRNA
AACACAUACAUACAUCCACACAAGCCAACAGCAGAUAAUAUUCAAUCAUAUAUAUGGUAAUGGCUAUAAUGUAAAACACAGGAUCCAACAGUACCUAAGGCCAAAUAGCCGUCUUGGUAUUACCUCAGUGUGAGCUGGUAUAGCAUAUGUGGGAUCUGGUAUGGCAUAUCUACAGCCUAUAGUAGUCUGAGUACCCAUCGAGAAAAAAUGUUUUUAGACAAAUAAUACAUUUUCACAAAAUGACUGUAGCAUUCACAACUGUGCAUUGUCUUCAUCAGGCCUUGUAAACUGAAAACAUGGUGUAGAAAUAGUUUUGGAGUCGGUUAAAGCGUCUGCAAGUUUGAAGUAGACAAAAGGAAACAGUGAGGGUAAUACGGUAACGGUAUGUAGAUACUGGACGUGAUUGGCUACUGCAGCUUGCGGACUGGAUACCCCCUGAAAGAUCAGCGUUGAAAGAAACGAAAGUUGAGCCUAACUAUUGAUGCUGUUCAGAGUGGUGGUGAGGAAAAAAUAAACACAAAAGAACAGGAAAAGAAUAAGACAAAGUGAGCCUGCUUUUCAAGACACUGGUCCUGCUUCAACAGUGAUCCUGCGUCAAGUAAAGCUUAGCAGUGUAAAGUGAGCCUGCUUUUCAAGACACUGGUCCUGCUUCAACAGUGAUCCUGCGUCAAGUAAAGCUUAGCAGUGUUUAGCAGUCUUCAACUUGACCACAACGCUGAAGUGAGAGCAGAACAUGGACGUGGUUGUGCGCCAUAACCACAGAGGACACCAGGAGUUUGCUGUCCAGGCCGAGCACUUGAAACUGCCGUACCUAGGACUUAGACUGAAAGCUCAGGGCAUUCACAAUAAGUACCUCUUCAAAGACAACAUCCCAGAAUACCCAAGGCCAGAGUUCUGGGUUUCCCAGCUCAGACACGACACGAAUGAAGGUGGGCUAUUUGGCAUAGCCGUCGAAAGCGAAGGGGGGUUCUGUGCUAGGGACGGAGAAGAGGGGCCAGAGGACCCAGAAGAGGGGCCAGAGGGUUUGGACCUGCUGUGGUGGAGCUUGUCUUUGGGAGCAGAGGAGAUGGCCUUGGCUGAACAACGUCUGCUCCAGACCAGGUACCCUGACAGGACAGAGGAGCAGGCCAGGGAGCAGAAAUCCUUCCUGCAGAGGUUCGCCACCUCACCUGCCUUCCUGAACACCUCUCGGCUGGGCUCCUACCGAUUCACCUUCCCCCUGGAGGAGCUGCUUAAGAGAUACCGGGAACAGCUAUGCGUUGGACACGAGCCAAUCCUGCGUGUGUAUGAGACAGUCCUGUACAAACAGGUGGUGAUGUACUCAGUGCUAGUCCACAGUCACUUCAACAACGACCUCUUUGAGAAGAGGACAAUGACGAUGGAGUCUGCGCUUACAGAGAUGGACAAAUCAUUUGGAGACCCGAGGCCAUGUGUGAGACACACAGCUUCAAACUGGUGCCAAAGCCCUACCAGAACCAGGAUGUAGCCCACCUGAUCCCUGAUCCACAGAAACACCAGUUCUACGUUUGGGACAACAUUGCUGUAGCGUUCCACAUGGACGGUUCACAGAUGUUGAACUUCGAUAUGUACAAUUUGAGAGGCCAUCUGAGAUUCUGUGAGCCAGGAACGCCACCAAUUUCCCCCACCUGUGAGUUGACCACAUACGAGGAGGCCAAAGACAUGGUAGACUGCUAUUGGCCUUACUACCAUACCCCCCUGUUCUGAUAAACUUAAUACCACACCCCCCUGUUCUGAUAAACUUAAUACCACACCCCCUGUUCUGAUAAACUUAAUACCACACCCCCUGUUCUGAUAAACUUACUACUACACCCCCCUGUUCUGAUAAACUUACUACUACACCCCCCUGUUCUUAUUUCUCCUAUUUCUUGAUUUGUUGUUUGGAUUGUUUUCAUGAUUGUGUAUUUGGAUUGUAUUUGCGAGACAUUCUACUGCACUGUUGGAGCUAGUAACACAAUCUUUUCCAUGCACCUGCCAUAACACCUGCAAAUCUGUGUACGUGACCAAUAAACUUUGAUUUGAUGAUGAUUUUGAAGUCAGGUAAAGUUAAAAUUGUUAUUCUUUCAACAUGCUUCACUGGUUUAAAACUUGAUAGGGACUUGGUCCCUGUGGCGGGAUCAAAUCAGCGGAAAUUUUAGAGCGCCACCUAUAGUUUUCAAUAAAACUCAAACUUUAAUUAAAACACACAUGCAAGGUACUGAAUUAAAGCUACACUCGUUGUGAAUCUAGCCACCAAGUCAGAUUUGUAAAAUGCUUUUCGGCGAAAGCAUGAGAAGCUAUUAUCUGAUAGCAUGCACCCCCCAGAAUACCAGACCGUCAACAAAACAACAGAUUUUGCGGUAGCCGGCGCUACCCAAAAUGCAGAAAUAAAAUAUAAAACAUUCCUUACCUUUGACGAGCUUCUUUCUUGGCACUCCUAUAUGUCACAUAAACAUCACAAUUGGGUCUUUUUCCCGAUUAAAUCCGUCAUUGUAUACCCAAAAUGUGAUUUGCUGAAGACUGGUCUGAUCCAGAAAAAUGCCCCUUUACAAGACGCAACGUCACUUUUUAAAAUUACAAAAGUUGCCUAUAAUCUUUUACAAAUCACUUCAAACUACUUUUCUAAACCAACUUUAGGUAUUAAUAAACGUUAAUAAUCUAUCAAAUUGAUCACGGGGUGAUCUGUAUUCGAUAGCAGCAAGUCUUGAAAUCAUCUUCCAUGUUUUCAAUUUCAUAACAUCCUGUGGUGAGCCCCAAAACAGGAAGUGCCUAUACGUCAUCAAACCAAGGAUAAAGGAGACUGAAAAUGCCAGUACUGGCGACAUCGUGUGGAAGCUGUAGGCGUUUACAGGGGAUCCCCAUGUAUUUUCUUCAGCCUUAGACAAUACAUUGACUGGCGGAUGAAUAUUAUUUUUGUGUUUUUGGUGAACAGUUUUUCGAAGGAUUUUUACUCCUGAACACGUUAUGUUAUAGCCACAGACACGAUUUAACCAGUUUUAGAGACUUCAGAGUGUUUUCUAUACACACACACUUAUCAUAUGCAUAUACUAUAUUCCUGGCAUGAGUAGCAGGACGCUGAAAUGUUGCAUGAUUUUUAACAAAAAGCUGCGAAAAUUUGCAGCCUCCUUAACAGGUUUUAAACCCAGUAAGCUACAUGUGUUUUUGUUAGUCAGCAUUAGUACAUUCUUUGUCAGGUUUGAGAACAUAUUGCUUUUGUUAGUCAGCAGUACUAUAUUGUUUGUCAGGAUUGAGAAAAUAUUGCUUUUGUUAUUUUUGUGUCUUUGCUCUACAAGGAGCUAAAAGGACUCAAGUAUUUUUUGUUAAGUUAGAAUUUUUAAGAAAAUAAAUCUUCUACAUUGGGACUAAACUAUUUAGCCCAGUCUCUCAA